rnacentral:rRNA from 1 species
UUGGAGGGCAAGUCUGGUGCCAGCAGCCGCGGUAAUUCCAGCUCCAAUAGCGUAUAUUAAAGUUGUUGCAGUUAAAAAGCUCGUAGUUGAAUUUCGGGGUUCUACCGUUGGUCGGGCUAACCAGUCUGUACUGGCGUGUAAAAUUCCUACCUUCUGGAGAACCAUCAUGUUAUUAAUUUAGCGUGGUGGGAAACCAGGACCUUCACCUUGAAAAAAUUAGAGUGUUCAAAGCAGGCUUACGUCUGAAUACAUUAGCAUGGAAUAAUAGAAUAGGACGGUGGUCCUGUUUUGUUGGUUUCUGAAUCACCGUAAUGAUUAAUAGGGAUAGUUGGGGGCAUUAGUAUUCAAUUGUCAGAGGUGAAAUUCUUGGAUUUAUUGAAGACUAACUUCUGCGAAAGCAUUUGCCAAGGAUGUUUUCAUUAAUCAAGAACGAAAGUUAGGGGAUCGAAGACGAUCAGAUACCGUCGUAGUCUUAACCAUAAACUAUGCCGACUAGGGAUCGGACGAAGUUAAUUUUAUAAUGACGCGUUCGGCGCCUUACGGGAAAC